CCUCCCAUUCUCCAUCACCCACUGACGCAGUUCUCCCUCCCAUUCUCCAUCACCCACUGACGCAGUUCUCCCUCCCAUUCUCCAUCACCCACUGACGCAGUUCUCCCUCCCAUUCUCCAUCACUGUCUGACGCAGUUCUCUCUUCCAUUCUCCAUCACCCACUGACGCAGUUCUCCCUCCCAUUCUCCAUCACUGUCUGACGCAGUUCUCUCUUCCAUUCUCCAUCACCCACUGACGCAGUUCUCCCUCCCAUUCUCCAUCACCCACUGUCUGACGCAGUUCUCCCUCCCAUUCUCCAUCACCCACUGUCUGAAGCAGUUCUCCCUCCCAUUCUCCAUCACCCACUGUCUGAAGCAGUUCUCUCUCCAUCACCCACAGGUCUCCCUCCCUCCAUCCAUCCACUGUCUGAAGCAGUUCUCUCUCCCAUUCUCCAUCCACCCACUGUCUGAAGCAGUUCUCUCUCCAUCACUGUCUGAAGCAGUUCUCUCUCCAUCACUGUCUGACGCAGUUCUCUCUCAUCACCCACAGUUCUCCAUCCACCCACUGUCUGACGCAGUUCUCCCUCCCAUUCUCCAUCCAUCCACCCACUGCCUGAAGCAGUUCUCUCCCCAUCACCCACAGGUCUCCCUCCCGUUCCCCACCACCCCAAACAUGUCCCAUUCACUGAGCUUCUAGAGCUCACCUGGGAGAGAACUGAGCUGGCUUGCAUCCCUAACAGCACCCUAUUCUCUAUGUAGUGCACUAUCCUGGUCAAACGUAGUGCACUACAUAGGGAAUAGGGUGCUGUUUGGGAUGAAUCCUAUACCUUGUUAGGGCCAGGUAUAUUAUUAUUACAGUCUAAAGGGAAUCUUCAUGUAUUGCUGUGCCUCGGUCUUCAUUGUGCAACCCCAAACUGUGGUUUAAAACAUUUUGCACUGUAGUUGGACGGACGUAAAGUAGAAUAAUGUCUGAAUCCUCAUUCACACAAUUAUGAAAUAUACCUAGUUUAGUGGUAAAACGGAUGUCCUGUCUCGUACAGAAACAGUUGUGCCUUUUUUAUUUUUUUACCAUAAAUUCUUGGUCCAACCAAAUUAUAUAUAUAUAUUUAAAAAAAAUAAAACCAUCAGUGUGUGUGGUUUUUAGACACCGCUUUAAAAUGUCUAUGCCCCCAUGUAGGGCACUGCUUUUGUCCAGAGCCCAAUGAACUCAAAAGUAGUGCCCCUAUGUAGGGAAUAGGGUGCCAUUUUGGACUGUUAAACCUCCACAAUAUGCCUUGUUUUUUCUUUACUUAUGCUGUGAGAUCAUUCUGUACCAAGCCUUGCAGGUGAACCAAGCUGAAUGAAGCGCUACCAGCCUUUAAAUUAAAUGUAAUGCUUUUUAAUUUCUUUUUAAUGUGAUUGACCUGUUGAUAAUGUCCCUGUGUGCAUCCCAAAUGGCUCCCCAUUCCCUAUAUAAAAGUGCACUACUUUUGAGGUCCUAUGGUCAAAGGCAGUGCACUAUUUUGGGAGCCAGCCCUGGUUUUCCACACUGUAUCUGUGAAGUCGGGGUCUGGAAAGGUCAGUGUAGAAAUAUGCUGUGUAGAACAUGCAUGCGGUUGACAUGUUUGGAGUGAAGAAUCAUGUCGGCUGCUAUUGGUUGUAUUUCUGUCUGCGUGCAGUAUGCUGUUGCACUCUUAUUUUUUUUACACGACCCUCGUCGUUAGAAAACCCUUGUUGCUCAGGGUUGUUUUGUCCGCGGCACACGUGUUUCUAUCCUAUGUCAGGGGUAUUCAACUCUGACCCAACGAGGGACGGAGACUGCUGCUGGUUUUCUGUUCUACCUGAUCAUUAAAUCGGACCCACCUGGUGUCCCCAGGUCUAAAAAUCAGUCCCUGAUUUUAGAGGGGAACACUGAAAACGCAGUGGAACUGGCUUUGAGGUCCAGAGUUGAGUUUGAGAGCCCCCACAGUGGAUGUGUCAUAAUACCCAUAAAACCUAGUCAAAACAGGGAAAUGGUUCCAAUCGUCCCCCCCCCCCCCCCCCAUAGGGGAUUUUGGAAACGUUUCGUGUAGGUUUACCCUGACAUUCAGAUGGGUAUUAUGAUUCAUGUUGUGACAGGAUACCAGCCUUCGUCUGUUGUUCAUGUGACUUCAGGUUGUGAGCACCUUCGUCAGCCAUAUCUGCUUUAGCGAGCUGCUUGUUCGAACUGAGUAAAUGAAAUGCUGUAGUUUUUAAAAUGUUAUCAGGAAUAAAAUGCUACUUUUUUUGCUACAAUGACAAAUAAAUGUUGUUUUUUUUCAA